CUACGGGUUGCUGCAGUGAGGAAUAUUGGUCAAUGGGCGCGAGCCUGAACCAGCCAUCCCGCGUGCAGGAUGACGGCCCUAUGGGUUGUAAACUGCUUUUCUAUGCCAAGAAACCUGAUUACGUGUAAUCAGUUGCCGGUAGCAUAGGAAUAAGCAUCGGCUAACUCCGUGCCAGCAGCCGCGGUAAUACGGAGGAUGCAAGCGUUAUCCGGAUUCAUUGGGUUUAAAGGGUGCGCAGGUGGGCUUGUAAGUCAGUGGUGAAAUGCUGCCGCUUAACGGUAGAACUGCCAUUGAUACUGCGCGUCUUGAGUAUGGUUGAGGUAGGCGGAAUGUGUUGUGUAGCGGUGAAAUGCAUAGAUAUGACACAGAACGCCAAUUGCGAAGGCAGCUUACUAAGCCAUUACUGACGCUGAGGCACGAAAGCGUGGGGAGCGAACAGGAUUAGAUACCCUAGUAGUC
rnacentral:rRNA from 1 species